rnacentral:rRNA from 1 species
GAUGAACGCUAGCGGGAGGCCUGACACAUGCAAGCCGAGCGGUAUUGUUUCUUCGGAAAUGAGAGAGCGGCGUACGGGUGCGGAACACGUGUGCAACCUGCCUUUAUCUGGGGGAUAGCCUUUCGAAAGGAAGAUUAAUACUCCAUAAUAUAUUGAACGGCAUCGUUUAAUAUUGAAAGCUCCGGCGGAUAGAGAUGGGCACGCGCAAGAUUAGCUAGUUGGUGAGGUAACGGCUCACCAAGGCGAUGAUCUUUAGGGGGCCUGAGAGGGUGCUCCCCCACACUGGUACUGAGACACGGACCAGACUCCUACGGGAGGCAGCAGUGAGGAAUAUUGGUCAAUGGGUGCAAGCCUGAACCAGCCAUCCCGCGUGAAGGACGACUGCCCUAUGGGUUGUAAACUUCUUUUGUAUAGGGAUAAACCUACCCUCGUGAGGGUAGCUGAAGGUACUAUACGAAUAAGCACCGGCUAACUCCGUGCCAGCCGCCGCAGUAAUAC